UCUAUAUCGCAUGAAAACAGGCAUUCAAUGGCAUUAGUGCAACUGUUAUUCACAAGGUCGUUUUCGAGGCGUAAUAGCUUAUUGGAUGCUUAACUUUCAAAGGCCCCACCAGCCAAAGCGGAGGAGAUAGCCAACACCUCUGACUCCACAAGCCCCUCCAGUUUGGCUGCCACGGCCCCGAACCCCUGCCUCAGCGAGGGACCCCAUGAGCAUGCGCCAUAUCUAGCGUUACCAUUCUAGAGUGUUUGAUAGUAUUUACAUGUACAGAUAU